AUCUAUUAAAGUGUACCGCACAUAAAAAUUUGAUUUUUAAAGAGAUAUUCAUAUCUAAUAGA
rnacentral:tRNA from 1 species